GUGUGAGAGUGCAGAGUGUGAUGAGUGUGAGAGUGCUGUGUGUAAGAGUGCAGAGUGUGAUGAGUGUGAGAGUGCUGUGUAUGAUGUGUGUGAGAGUGCAGAGUGUGAUGAGUGUGAGAGUGCUGUGUGUAAGAGUGCAGAGUGUGAUGAGUGUGAGAGUGCUGUGUAUGAUGUGUGUGAGAGUGCAGAGUGUGAUGAGUGUGAGAGUGC